rnacentral:rRNA from 1 species
CCGACGGUGAGAGGUGAAACCUAGGGGAGCGAGCCGGAUUAGAUACCCGGGUAGUCCUAGGCGUAAAUGAUGCGAGUUAAGUGUGGGGGCAUCUACGAGAUGGCCCUGUGCUGUAGGGUAGCCGUUAAACUCGCCGCCUGGGGAGUACGGUCGCAAGGCUGAAACUUAAAGGAAUUGGCGGGGGAGCACCACAAGAGGUGGAGGCUGCGGUUCAAUUGGACUCAACGCCGGAAAACUCACCGGGAGC